AGAACCCGCGUGGGAGAGACCUCGACGAACUGGUCGAGGCGCCGAAGGGGCAAGCUCCCGCACACUCUCAGGCAGCAAGACCACCCGGGGUAG
rnacentral:ncRNA from 1 species